ACAGAUAAAGCAUGAUUUUGAUGUUCUGAUAGUUUUUAUCUUAUGGGUGUUAUGUUGUUUUUUAGGUGCAAAUUUCAAUGAAAGUAAGAAAGGGGAGAAACUUAUAGUUCUGGUGGAUUUCACUCUCUAAUGUUGGCACUGGGUUUCGAUGCUUAUUGAAUAUAAUUCUUGCUUAUUGUCAAAAUUUGGUGAACUAUUUGGUUGACUAAUUAUUCAUACUGUAGUGCUUCUUAUCUUAAGGAGGUUUCCGGUGAAGGAUGGAGAGUUGAUGUACACAAGUUGUAUGGAUAUAUUGAUCUUUUCACACUUGUUGCACAUUGGUGGUUAGUUGAGGAUUGACAGAGAUCCAUGUGUUGUUUGCAAAGAAUCAGAGGCUGCGGACUUGGUUCAAAUGAAUGAGUCCAAUUCUUAUCAGUGUUAUAAAAGGUUCCACAAAAGAAAAGUGAUAUUUCUACCAGGUUGUUCGAGUUGUUAUUUAGACCUUGAAGAACUUACUCUACAAUGGGGCAUUUGGAGCUCAAAUGAUCCAGCAAAUAAGUGUCGGAGAGAAGUUAAGAUGGAAGCAUUGAGUUUUUAAAAUACAAGAAAUUCUUGGUUGGAUUCGUACCUCAACGUAUAUGUGAUGACAGGAUCAAGCUUCGCACUGAAACGAGAAGUUGUAAGGGUUUUUUAUUUUGUCG